GCGGUCGUGGCGGAAUUGGCAGACGCACUGGAUUUAGGUUCCAGCGGGCAACCGUGGAGGUUCAAGUCCUCUCGACCGCACCA
rnacentral:tRNA from 3 species